rnacentral:rRNA from 1 species
UACAGAGGGGGCAAGCGUUGUUCGGAAUUACUGGGCGUAAAGGGCUCGUAGGCGGUUUGUCGCGUCGGGAGUGAAAACUCAGGGCUCAACCCUGAGCGUGCUUCCGAUACGGGCAGACUAGAGGUAUUCAGGGGAGAACGGAAUUCCUGGUGUAGCGGUGGAAUGCGCAGAUAUCAGGAGGAACACCGGUGGCGAAGGCGGUUCUCUGGGAAUUACCUGACGCUGAGGAGCGAAAGCAUGGGGAGCGAACAGG